rnacentral:lncRNA from 1 species
GUCAUUGAUGCAUACCUGCACCGUGUCAUUGAGAGACGAAAGGUAAUGAAGUGAGAUCGAUCAAUAAACGACGGAGGCUCCAGAAAAGUGCAAUCAAACGAUGAGUUUAUUAACACAGGAGAACAACCAUCAGCAUAUGGCCUGUUUUGCUCUGACAGAAAUACACUGGGUUCUGGUUUUAUAGCAUAGAGGAUCACGCCCCCACGUACAUGUCAAAUACAGGUCAAAAAUACAUUAUGUACAGUCAUUGUUUUCAGACAAGGGUACAUCUUGUACAUCUCUAAUAACUAUAAACAGACAUGUAACUUCUCUUUUCUAUAACACUUGCCUUUUAAGGUAAUAAACUUCAAGCUUCAGGGUCUCUGAGAGCUAAUAAUGGACCCUCGUCAUCAAUCACUAAGUAGACAGAAUCGCAGCAGGUCUCAAAGAAAAGCAGAAGACACUUGGGCCUUCGCUCAGGCCUGCUACUAGAUUAAUAUGUGUAUUGUAAGCAUGCAUGCAAUUAACCUGCUAUGUUCUCAUCUUCCCUCAACAUGUAUCACCUGGACACUCUCACCAGUAAAGCUUAAAACCCUCUUGGAUGGAACAUCAACUCUAAACAAGCACAGAUAUGCACUGUGUAUAAAAUGAACUCUACCUGUGAAUAGAAUGGUCAAUGUGAUGACAAACAUAUUCAAUGCAAUAUGAACCCUGUAAGGAAUAUUAUAUAUAUUCAUAUAUUAUAUAAUAUAUGAAGGUGUUAAUGACAGGAAAAUUCUGCGCAACUGGAGGAAUUUUCUGAGGAUGAGAGGGCAUGAAGACACCAUGGAGUGGCAGUUACAGACUAUGCAACACAACAAGCAACAGGAUUCCAGCAGUUGCGGAGUUUUGCUGUUAAAGUUUGCAGAACAGUACCUUGCUUUUGGAGAGGUCAGUGAGGUGUUAACCACUACAGAAGCAGUUGUGCUGGAGCGAAUGCAGAUAGCUUGCACCCUACUUGAACAUCGAGGGAACGCUGAGGACUACUGCACUGUUUGCUCUAUGUUAGAUGCUGACGCUGACCGCAGCAUGAUUGAAAUGGUGCAGUGUGAAUCUUGCCAAAGAUGGGCACAUUUUGCAUGUGCAAAAUAUAAAGAGAGCAACCAAGAAGAUAAAUGCAAAAAAUGUAAGGAAAAUACAUAACAACUUCAAAUAAAAACAGCUGUCUUUUCCCCUCCAUGUCUCUUUGUAUUCUUUGUCAACAUUAGAUGAUUGUGUGCUGGAGGCAUGUUUUGAUACCUAAAUAAAUC